UCACUUUGAUUAACUGAGCUGCGGCUCUGGACAUUUCGAGGUGAGCACGUUUACUUGUUUUGGGAGCGGAGUUGCACACCUUGCCGCGCGAGCUUCGGCGUGACAAUCAGCGUGUGCGUGAGCUCUGUGUCCCGCAGAAACGUCCCAAUUGAGAAGUGCUUUUACAGCACACAGAUUGGGAUUAAAACACACACACAGAGACCCAGGGAGGGGGGUAAAAAACAAAAAAACGCGGAGUUCUGUGGACUUGGCUGUGUUUCAAGCAGCACCGAACCGGACCCCAUGUUUCUUUUCCUCGGAUUAUUUAAACCUGCAGCUUUGACUCUUUCCGCUCUGACUGUGUUCCGGCUUCUUGUCUCCGCUGUGGAUUGUUAAUAAAAACCUAGAGAAGUCAGUGCCAGCCGAACCCGAGCAGUGCGGAUCCAUACGAUGUCCCCCUCUUUUCUUCCCCCUUUUCCCCGCUCCUCUUCUUCACCGUCUCCAUAAUUUGAUAUAGAAAACGAUUUCUAUUUAAUUUCUGCUAAGUGGAGACACAGGAGUUGCAGAACGAAAAAUAUCCCUGUUCGUCUUCAUUGUGAUUCUGGUCUGGAUCUGUUUGGAGAAGGCGUGCGGGAGUUCUGCGUUGAAGCCGCUGCGCGCGUCAUUUUCCCCACUCGUGUCCUCAAACUGAUCAUUUUCUGGGGGUGAAUUGAUCGGGUCUCCUUGCAGAGCGCGUGGAGCAACUCGCCGAGUUUCUUACAUGAAACCAGUGUAACAACUUUAUCCCCUAUUUGUGGAAAGAAACCGGACGUUGACCGGACUCCGGCAACAUUGAAACUGGACUCUAAUGCAUUUCUAGCGAUUUAUUUAUUUAAUUUAUUUCCAUUUCAUUUUGGAAAGACCUCGACAGCGCAUUGUCACGCGCACAUAUACACAUCUGCCCAUUGCGCAUCAUCCAAGUUGGAGAACCCCGCACCAGCUCACGCCCGCAGGCGAAGCUUUGUGUCUCCACUACAGACCCGAAACUACUGGACGACUGGGAUUUUUAAGGUCCAUCCGUUGGGAUUUCUUCUACCAUGUCAGGUGUGCGGGAUUUCAGAUGGACUCCCAUCAUCUGCGCCGCGGUGCUUUCAUGUGGUGGAAUGUUGCUGUUCAUGUAAAGGUUUGGAGGUCAGAGGCAGAGCAGCGUUCGUGGAGCUGAUAUGAAUGGAGAUCUGAGUGAAGAAGAAGAAAUUCAUUGCCUUCUGGGCCAUCUCUAGCUGUAAAAUUUAUGCAUGUAUAUGAAAUAAGACAUAAACCUUCGGACGCUAAAGCAGAGGGGAUGUUGAUGGGUUUGAACCUCAUAAUUAUUUCCAUAAUUCUGCUGAUAAUUUUGCCAAUAGACUGACGGACUAAUGAAAUGUUAAACACCAAACUAGUUUUUUUUUUUUUAUUCUACAAAAGAUUGAUAAAAACACAAAUCUUUCCUCUUUCAGAGAGGAGAGGAAAGCACCAGUAACAUUAGUAUGGGUUCUUGAAAUCUUUGAAAAUGCUUGAAUUAGAUUUGGAAAGUUCUGGAUUUUUGCAUAAAAUUCUUGAAAGUGCUUGGUAUUCAAAGUCCACUCUAAUGUUUCAUCAGAAGGCAUUAUUUAUAGUUGAAACCAGACAAGAAACCUGCAAUUUUUUUCUCACUGUCUGAAGUGAAAUCAGACUUAAUCUUUCUUAUUUUAGGUUAGUUGGAAUCAGCUAAAUUAUUUCUGUUAAUUGUCAAAAAAAUUAGCAAAAACAUUUUUUAGAUUUUAUUUUGUAAAUUUUACAGACCAGUUAGGUGCAUAGAGUGUUUAAGAGAGCCAUUUCCAAAUAUAAACUGAUGUCAUAGUUUUAGUUUACUUUGUCCCUGCUGUAGAAUGUAGAAUACUAUCACAAGAUAUUCAUUUUAUUUUUUAUUUCAUAUACUCAAUAAUAAACAUGAAUAGUUUUUGCUCCUUUUCAGGAAGGAAAAGGAGCAGAAAGAAGCAUAAACUCAUAUCUGCACACACAAAAGGCUCAGAAGACUAUUACAUAUAUCAAAUACUCCACAAAUAAACAAAAAUACAUAACAAAACUUCCUUAGUCAAUGCCAUAUUACUUCAUAAUAGUGAUUUUUAAAGUCAUCUUUCCAUUGUUGCUGUUCUAAACCAAUUUUUUUAUUCAGUUCCUUUGAAGUUGUGUUUGCUUUCUCUUUUUACACAUCAGUUUGAACAAUUAUUAAUGAUGUCGUAUAAUAUGGAAUUGAAACUGUCUUCUUUAGUUCAUUUGUAUUGUUUUUGUUAGUCUGGCACUAUAAAUGUUAGAAAACACUUGAAUUUUACUGUGGGGAACAGUGUACAAACCCUGACCAGCAACUGCCCGUGCAUAAAUCAACAGGUUAAUCUCCAUAUGAGUGAAGCAGUGGCAGUAUUUCAUACAUUUAAGAGGCGCGUGCGUCUUUAUCUAAUAUGUAAAUUGAUCCAGUUUGGUUCGCCGCCAGAAGCAAAAAGACGAGGCAUCAAACGGCGGAACAAAGAGCUGGACGCGCUCCAGGAAGACGACAUUGCAGCUGACCCGGGCUAAAUGGAUUGAACGGAUUACGUCUAACCGUUACAUCGGUGGAUGUAGUGAUGUAAGCGGGCGCGUCUGCCUCUUCGCUCGUGCCUACGAGGAGCAGCAUUUGUCCAGUCAUGGAUUGAAUGUAGCUGGCAACCUUCCCAGCACCAGCGGCGCUCACAGCAGAGACAAAAGCGGCAGUGUGACACACUUCUCCUGAUGUACAUGAGGAGAAAUUAAACCUCUCCUCUGUUUCCGUC